ACCGGCAGCUCAAGUGGUGGCCAUUUUUAUUGGGCCUAAAGCGUUCGUAGCCGGUUUGAUAAGUCUCUGGUGAAAUCCCGCAGCUUAACUGUGGGACUUGCUGGAGAUACUAUUAGACUUGAGGUCGGGAGAGGUUAGGGGUACUCCCAGGGUGGGGUGAAAGGCUAAUAGGCCUGGAAGAACACCCGGGGCCAAGGGGGCCUACCUGAAAGGAACUGGCGGGGGAUAAAGUAAGGCCAGGGCCACGACCG
rnacentral:rRNA from 1 species